rnacentral:lncRNA from 1 species
UAUCUCUGAUCUUAGUCCUAUUUUUACUUUUAUUGUCAAAAGCACCCCAAAGUGCACUUCUGUUCCCAAAAUUUUGAACAAGUUAUAUAUAAAAAUCAUCAAAAAUUUAUUUUAAGUUAAAUAAUUGAAAGUUGCAAAAGAAUUGGCAAAACAUAAAAUUAUUUAUAAAAUGUGUGCGAAUAAAAAUUCAGGCUUUGUC